rnacentral:rRNA from 1 species
UACGUAGGGUGCGAGCGUUGUCCGGAAUUACUGGGCGUAAAGAGCUCGUAGGUGGUUUGUCGCGUUGUUCGUGAAAACUCACAGCUUAACUGUGGGCGUGCGGGCGGAUACGGGCAGACUGGAGUACUGCAGGGGAGACUGGAAUUCCUGGUGUAGCGGUGGAAUGACGCAGAUAUCAGGAGGAACACCGGUGGCGAAGGCGGGUCUCUGGGCAGUAACUGACGUGGAGGAGCGAAAGCGUGGGGAGCGAACAGG